GUGGCGCACGGGUGAGUAACGCGUGGGAACCUGCCCUGUGGUACGGAAUAACUCCGGGAAACUGGAGCUAAUACCGUAUGCGUCCCCUGGGACAAAGAUUUAUCGCCACGGGAUGGGCCCGCGUAGGAUUAGCUUGUUGGCGGGGUAACGGCCCACCAAGGCUUCGAUCCUUAGCUGGUCUGAGAGGAUGAUCAGCCACACUGGGACUGAGACACGGCCCAGACUCCUACGGGAGGCAGCAGUGGGGAAUAUUGGACAAUGGGCGCAAGCCUGAUCCAGCAAUGCCGCGUGAGUGAUGAAGGCCUUCGGGUUGUAAAGCUCUUUCGCACGCGACGAUGAUGACGGUAGCGUGAGAAGAAGCCCCGGCUAACUUCGUGCCA
rnacentral:rRNA from 1 species